AAUAAACGCUGGCGGCGUGCCUAACACAUGCAAGUCGGACGAGAAAGGCUGAUUUCGGAUUAGCCGAGUAAAGUGGCGCACGGGUGAGUAACGCGUAGGUAACCUACCCUUGUAUUUGGGAUAACAGGACGAAAGUUUUGCUAAUACCGGAUACGACCUGAGGGCGGAGGUUUUCAGGUGAAAGUCGGCCUCUUCGAGAAAAGCUGACGUACAGGGAUGGGUCUGCGUCCUAUCAGCUAGUUGGUGGGGUAACGGCCUACCAAGGCGACGACGGGUAGCUGGUCUGAGAGGAUGAUCAGCCACACUGGCACUGGAACACGGGCCAGACUCCUACGGGAGGCAGCAGUGAGGAAUUUUGCGCAAUGGCCGCAAGGCUGACGCAGCAACGCCGCGUGGGUGAAGAAGGCCUUCGGGUCGUAAAGCCCUGUCAGGUGGGAAGAAAGGUUUCGUCAAGAAACGGAUGGAAUUUGACGGUACCACCAGAGGAAGCACCGGCUAACUCCGUG
rnacentral:rRNA from 1 species